UACGUAGGGAGCAAGCGUUGUUCGGAAUUACUGGGCGUAAAGCGCACGUAGGCGGGUUGUUGAAGUCGGGGGUGAAAUCCUGGAGCUCAACUCCAGAACUGCCUUCGAAACUGACGAUCUUGAGUUCGGGAGAGGUGAGUGGAACUGCGAGUGUAGAGGUGAAAUUCGUAGAUAUUCGCAAGAACACCAGUGGCGAAGGCGGCUCACUGGCCCGAUACUGACGCUGAGGUGCGAAAGCGUGGGGAGCAAACAGG
rnacentral:rRNA from 1 species